rnacentral:rRNA from 1 species
GAUGAACGCUAGCGGCGUGGAUUAGGCAUGCAAGUCGAACGGUAUCAUCCUUUCGGGGGUGAGAGAGUGGCGAACUGGUGAGUAACACGUAGGUUAUCUACCCUCAAGACGGGGACAACCCAGGGAAACUUGGGCUAAUACCGGAUGUGAGCAACUUUUAGUUGUUUGAAAGGUGGCGUAAGCUGUCGCUUGGGGAUGAGCCUGCGUCCUAUUAGUUAGUUGGUGAGGUAACGGCUCACCUAGGCAAUGAUAGGUAGGCGGCCUUAACGGGUGGUCGCCCACACUGGGAUUGAGAUACGGCCCAGACUCCUACGGGAGGCAGCAGUCGAGAAUAGUCUACAAUGGUCGGAAGACUGAUAGUGCGACGCCGCGUGAACGAUGAAUCCCUUCGGGGUGUAAAGUUCUUUUAUAUGUGAGCAGUGCUUCUUAUAUUAACAGUAUGGGGAGAGAGAUAUUAGCAUAUGAAUAAGCAACGGCUAACUCCGUGCCAGCAGCCGCGGUAAA